rnacentral:rRNA from 1 species
UACUACAGAGGUGCAAGGGUUGUCGCUGACCUUUCCAAAAGGUCGUGCACGCCCGAGCGCUCUCAAUCCAUUUCACCCCUUGUGCAUCACCGCGCGGGGUCGCUCCCUCUUGGCUCGCUUCGAGAGGGGGAGGCUCGCGUUUUUCACACAUAAACACCCUUCUGGUUUAGAAUGUCAUUCAUUUGCGAUCACACGCAAUCAAUACAACUUUCAACAACGGAUCUCUUGGCUCUCGCAUCGAUGAAGAACGCAGCGAAAUGCGAUACGUAAUGUGAAUUGCAGAAUUCAGUGAAUCAUCGAAUCUUUGAACGCAUCUUGCGCCCCUUGGUAUUCCGAGGGGCACACCCGUUUGAGUGUCGUGAAAUUCUCAAACCUUCUUGGUUUCUCGAUCAAGAUGGCUUUGGACUUUGGAGGCAUUUUGCUGGCUUUGCGAAAAGCCAGCUCCUCUUAAAUACAUUAGUGGGGUCCCCUUUGCCGAUCCCCAGGCGUGAUAAGAUGUUUCUACGUCUCGGGAUUUGCUCUGUUCCUUGGGAACCCGCUUAUAACCGUCUCAUNNNGACAUCGUUCGAGCAUGCUCGACCCACGAACCUUG